CAUGAGAGAGAAGCUGAGGCGAAGGCGUCUACCUAGAGGGUUUCUGUCGAUCAAGGGCGAGAGUAGGAGUAUCCAACAGGAUUAGAGACCCUGGUAGUUCCUACCUUAAACGAUGCCGACAGGAGUUUGUCAUUUGUUAAUGGCAGAAUCUUUAGGAGAAAUCAUAGUUCUUGGGCUCUGGGGGAACUACGACCGCAAGGCUGAAACUUGAAGGAAUUGACGGAAGGGCACACCAGGGGUGGAGCCUGUGGCUUAAUUUGAAUCAACACGGGGAAACUUACCAGGACCAGAUGUUUUUUAUGACUGACAGGCUUCGGGUCUUUCAGGAUAUUGUUUUUGGUGGUGCAUGGCCGUUGGUGGUGCGUGGGUUGACCUGUCUAGCGUUGAUUCAGCUAACGAGCGAGAUUAUCGCCAAUUAUUUACUUUGCCGAAGUCCUUCGGUUAAAGUUCUAAUUGGGACUCCCUGCGAUUUUAGCAGGUGGAAGAGGGUAGCAAUAACAGGUCCGUGAUGCCCUUUAGAUGCUCUGGGCUGCACGCGUGCUACAAUGUUAGGAUCAAUAGGACUGCGAGCCUGAGAGGGUGCGCUACUCUUAUAAUCCCUAACGUAGUUGGGAUUGACGUUUGUAAUCAGCGUCAUGAACCAGGAAUCCCUUGUAAAUGUGUGUCAACAACGCACGUUGAAUACGUCCCUGCCCUUUGUACACACCGCCCGUCGCUCCUACCGAUUGGAUGACUCGGUGAAAUCACCGGAUGCUUACGAGCAGAAAGUGAUUAAAUCACGUUAUCUAGAGGAAGGAGAAGUCGUAACAAGGUAACGGUAGGUGAACCUGCCGUUGGAUCAGUU
rnacentral:ncRNA from 1 species